CAGAUGCUGAGCACAGUUCUGACAGAGGGGAGCUGAUAUGGCCCUUUCUUGGGGAGAAGAGUCUGGGGCACCCUCUGAGAUUCUGUAUGUAUCUCCCUGAGACUUUAUCACUGUUCAGGCGGAGCCAGUGAUGAGUCCCUUUGUGGGUAUAUGCAUAAUUCUUCUCUGAGGGAACAAGAGCAAAAGGCAAAAGGACUGCAGCUCCUGUCACACAGGGUGGCUCCUGGAGGGUGUGUUCCAGUACAAUGAAUGAAUAAGUCAAGAAAGAGGAGAACUUGAGUCCAAGAAGCAAAGACAGGGCAAGGAGGCUUUUUCCACAACCAUCGAAGGCUACUCUGAUUUGCAAUUAGCAGGAUAAACUGAAGAUAACACCUUGCAGAAGCAGAUCUCAAUUAACAACUGAUGGAAAAAAGAGGAAACUGAAGAGGCCAAAAGAAAGGGAACACACAAUGAGGAAGAAGGAGAAAGUUGGACCCAUUCCAAGAAUCAUGCAAGCCAUUCUGCUGGAUGUGAAGUGGUAUCUGAUUGUUACUAGAAGGCUAUCCUUACAAGAAAUGCUAAAGGAAAUUGUUCAGACUGAAAGCAAUUGACACCAGACGGUAAUUUGAAUCCACACAGUAAAACAAUGAGCAUCAGCAGAGGUCAUUAUGUCAGUAAUUUGAACCACAGUAUAAUAUAUAUUACUACUCCUUCCUUCUCUUAGCUGAUUUAAACAGCAAUUGCAUAAAACAAUAUGUAUAUAAUUGCAUUAUUAAGCCUAUAACAUACAGAAAUGCAAUAUAUUUGACAAUAACAUCACAAGAAAGGUAGGAGGGAACAAAGCUGUAUUAUAGUACAGAAAUGACACCAGAUGGUAACUUGAAUCUACAGGAAGAAAUAAAGAGCGCCAGAAAUGAAGAAUAAGAAGAUUAACAUAAUAAACUCUCUAAAUAUAUACUUGCCCUCCUUUCUUCUCUCAGCUACUAUAAAAGACAUGAAACAUGAAAUUAUAUAAAACAAUAAUUAUAAAAAUUUAUUGUGCAGUUUGUAAUAUAUGUAAGUGCAAAAUAUGUUGUUGGAUUCUUGGUUGAGGUUUUUAUCUUUCUGCACUUUGAAUGUGUCAUCUAGCUGCUUUCUAGCCUCCAUUCUUUCUGAUAAGGAAUCAGAUGUUAAUCUUACUGGGGUUACAUUGUACAUGAUGCGUUGCUCUUCUCUUGCUGCUUUCAAGAUUUUCUCUUCAUUCUUGGUUUUCAACAUUUUGAUUAUAAUGUCUCAAGGUCUAGACCUUUUUGCAAUAUCCUACUUGAGUUCAACAAGCUUCUUGGAUAUGUAGAUUAAUGUGUUGUUUUGUUCUUUUGUUUGGGUUUUUUUUUUUUUUGGUCAAAUUUGUGAUAUUUUCAGCCAUUUUUCCUUUGUAUAGGUUUUUAUCUCCUUUCUCUUUCUCUCAUCUUUCUGGGACUCUCAUUAUACAUAUGUUGGUACACUUAAUGGUGUCCCACAUUUCUCUGAUGCCAUUUAUUUUUCCUCAUUCUUUUCAUCUCUGUGCUUCAAAUUGCAUAAUCUCAAUUUAUCUUCAAAUUCACUGAUUCUUUUUCCAACUCAAAUCUACUGUUGAGUUCCUCUUUUGAAUUUUUCAUUUUACUUACUGUGUUUUUCAACUCUAGAAUUUCCAUUUCUUUUUAAAAUAAUUUCUAUCUUUAUCAAUAUUUUCUAUUUGAUAAAACUGUCAUAAUACAUUUACUUAAUUCUUUAAAUAUUGUUUCCUUUAGUUCUUGGGACAUAUUUAUAAUAGCUGCUUUGUGAUUCUUUGAACUUUCCUGCUAAGUCCAUUCUCUGGGCUCCCUCAAAAACAGUUUCUAUUGUUGGCUUUUUCCCUUUACAUGGGUCACUCUUUCCUGUUUCUUUGCACAUCUGACAAUUUUUUUUUUGAAAACAGAACAUGUUAGAUAAUACAUUGCAGCAACUUUGGAUAUUGAUUCUCCCUUACCACCUUUGGGAUCUGUUGUUGUUUCCUCAUUUUCUUGUUUGUUUAGUGACAUAAUUGGACUAGUUCAGUUAAGUCUGUUUCCUUCAAAGUGUGCAACAUCUAACAGCAUGCCUCAGACAGCACAGACUUGGGCAUGUACACAGUCUUUUUAACUGCCAGAGAUAACUGUGGUUUUCUCUUUGACUGUCUCUUUCUCAUUGAGACUUUGGGUGGUCUACCUCUGUUGGUAUUACAUACAACCAUUGGCCUCCAGCAAUCUUUAUCUGAUUGUUCUACUUUUUUCAGCAACUCCCUGGGGCAUAAUAUGCUUCACAGUCUAAUCCAAUUAAAGUUCCUUGAAAGGGGCAGAGUGUUUACAGUCUUUGAAGCUUGCUCCAAAUCUGCCCUGGAAGAAUGUCUGUCCUAUAGAUCAGGAGCUGGGGGAAAUUAGAAAACUCAUUCUUUCCCAGGCACUGCACUAGAGUUCUUCUUAUGGUGUAGGAGCUGUGAGAAGAGAAAAGGGGGAAGUAGGAACUGGCACUGCCACCCAGCUGCGCCCACCACCAAGUACACAUAUUCCACAGCGCAGAGCUGGGGAGAAUAAUAACUGCCAAUAUUCAUAGCUGUCAACCUACCCAUAAUAGUUCUUCCAUUCUAGGAAGCUGGGGAAGAUGGGAGAUGCCACUUGGCUGCUGAGCCAACUGGAAUAGUUCUCGUGCAACAUAGAGCCAUGAAAAAGGGGGGACUGACUUCUUACCAGCUGCCCCACUUAGAUCCUCCCCAUAUAAUCGGAGUUGGGGGUGAAGGAACAGACACUGAUGCAUGUUUGCUGGCACCGAUUCAAUAUUCGACUUCCACAGCAUGGAUCUUUGAAAAAUACUGUCAUGUAAUUUUCACUGGCUGCCAAAUCCACCCCAAAUAACUUUUUUACCCCAGGGAGCUGGAGAAGAUGGGAAUUGCCACUUGUGGGAUGAGCCCACAGAAAACAUCCUCCCGCAAGGUAGAGCUGUUGCAGCCCCUAGUUCUAAUGCAAUGUCCUCCCACUGUUCCUAUCAAGUCUCCAUAUUUUUGCUGAAUAAAUGCUUCUCGGUUUGUUGUAAUCCCUUUGAUCACUCUCCAGAGACUUUGAAUGGUUUUCUUUGCUAAUUUUGACCAGCUUGGUGGAUACCUCUUCAGGAGAGAGGUUUCCCCAAACUCCUCCACCACUGCUCCAGAAAUCCCCAGAAGUUCUUGACAUUUCGUGAGGGCAAAACUUAGAGCACAAGGCAUCAGUGGCUUCCUUCUCUUACCAGUUGUAUAACCUUGAGCAAGUCUUUUAACCUCUGUGAACAGUUUCUCAUCUGUAACAUAAGGAUAAUCAUAGUGCCCACAAUUGUUGGGAGGAUUUGUUGAGUUAAUCCUUGUUAUGCACCUAGUCUAGUGCCAAGUUAUCAUUAUUACUAUUGUCAUUAUUUUUAAUAAUCCACGAGUUUAUAACUUCAGAGUGUUGGAAUCAUAACCAGUUCACACAAUACUUUUGUACAAGUUAUAAAAGGCAUUUUUCCUCAGGACAAUUUAUUAUUUGUCUUUCAAAGUAAUUAUAAUAAUAUAAUGAUUUUGUUAGAAUAAGACAA
rnacentral:lncRNA from 1 species